UCCUUCCGUACGGGAACCUGCGGAAGGAUCAUGUAAGAUGAUUGGCCUAACGGCCUUAUCAACAUAAUCCCUCACCUCUGUGAACCGUUGACCUCCGGGUCUACAUAACAAACAUCAGUGUAAAGAACGUCUUUAUAUUUUAACAAAAUAAAACUUUCAACAACGGAUCUCUUGGCUCUCGCAUCGAUGAAGAACGCAGCGAAAUGCGAUAAGUAAUGUGAAUUGCAGAAUUCAGUGAAUCAUCGAAUCUUUGAACGCACCUUGCGCCUUUUGGUAUUCCGAAAGGCAUGCCUGUUUGAGUGUCAUGAAAUCUCAAUCCCCCCGGGUUUUCUGAACCCGAGGUGGACUUGGACAUGGGUGUCUGCCGUCUCGUACGGCUCGCCUUAAAUGACUCAGUGGGAUCUUCAGCAUCCGUGGCAGACGUAAUAAGUUUCGUCUCGUCCCUUGCUGUGAGGACCGCUCAUAACCUGCCAUCGCGCACCACUUUUGACUCUGACCUCAAAUCAGGUAGGACUACCCGACUGAACUUAAGCAUAUCAAUAGC
rnacentral:rRNA from 1 species